rnacentral:rRNA from 1 species
CCUACGGGUGGCAGCAGUGAGGAAUAUUGGUCAAUGGGCGCAAGCCUGAACCAGCCAAGUAGCGUGAAGGAUGACGGCCCUACGGGUUGUAAACUUCUUUUAUAAAGGAAUAACGUGCCUCACGUGUGCCUCUUUGCAUGUACUUUAUGAAUAAGGAUCGGCUAACUCCGUGCCAGCAGCCGCGGUAAUACGGAGGGUCCGAGCGUUAUCCGGAUUUAUUGGGUUUAAAGGGAGCGUAGGUGGGUUGUUAAGUCAGGUGUGAAAUGUUGCGGCUCAACCGUAGAAUUGCAGUUGAUACUGGCAUCCUGGAGUACAGGUGAGGCAGGCGGAAUUCGUGGUGUAGCGGUGAAAUGCUUAGAUAUGACGAAGAACUCCGAUUGCGAAGGCAGCCUGCUGAAGUGCAACUGACGCUGAUGCUCGAAAGCGUGGGUAUCAAACAGGAUUAGAUACCCGUGUAGUC